CCUACGGGAGGCAGCAGUGGGGAAUAUUGGGCAAUGGGCGCAAGCCUGACGGAGCGACGCCGCGUGGGCGAGGAAGGCCGUAAGGUUGUAAAGUCCUUUUCGGGAAGGGGAAUAAGAGUGAUAGGCAAUGAUCACUUGAUGACAUGAAUCCCGGAAUAAGCCCCGGCUAACUACGUGCCAGCAGCCGCGGUAAU
rnacentral:rRNA from 1 species